rnacentral:rRNA from 1 species
GACGAACGCUGGCGGCGUGCUUAACACAUGCAAGUCGAACGCUGAAGCUCAGCUUUUGUUGGGUGGAUGAGUGGCGAACGGGUGAGUAACACGUGAGUAACCUGCCCCCUUCUUUGGGAUAACGCCCGGAAACGGGUGCUAAUACUGGAUAUUCACUGGUCUUCGCAUGGGGGUUGGUGGAAAGGGUUUUUCUGGUGGGGGAUGGGCUCGCGGCCUAUCAGCUUGUUGGUGGGGUGAUGGCCUACCAAGGCUUUGACGGGUAGCCGGCCUGAGAGGGUGACCGGUCACAAUGGGACUGGGAUACGGCCCAGACUCCUACGGGAGGCAGCAGUGGGGAAUAUUGCACAAUGGGCGCAAGCCUGAUGCAGCGACGCCGCGUGAGGGAUGGAGGCCUUCGGGUUGUGAACCUCUUUCGCUCAUGGUCAAGCCGCAACAAUGGUUGUGGUGAGGGUAGUGGGUAAAGAAGCGCCGGCUAACUACGUG